UCUUCAAACAGGCCUAACUGUUGGGUGAUGCACUACGUACUUAUAUGACGUCACAAUAUUACAGAAACUAAAAUCCGCGAAACGUUAAUAAGCCAAGGGGUUAAGAUGAUCUUUUUAAAAUUCAACGAUAAAAAGGACGUAUUUCUAGCUACCAAAGGUUGUGUGUUUUUGUUGAAUGAUUAUACACGGGCACAUGUUACGUUUUACCAAUCGAGGCAUCGAAAUAGCUGACCAGCCUACAGCAGAGGGGCCGAUGAUUGAGUGUAACGUCAGGCCUACAGACUGUUUAUCGUUCUUCGUGUUUUAAAACCUUCUCCUUGUAAGGAUGUACAUGUAAACUCGUCCAUUAGUGCAUUACAAACCAGUAAUAUACAGAUGAAUGUGAAUAGUGAAAAAAUCCAAAAAAGAAAACUCUGGUAUGCACGGGUUAAAAGCUACAAUAUAGACCAAAGGAAAAGAAAAAGAUAGAGGAUCAAGAAAACGCUUUAUAAUAUAUGACAUUAAAUGAAUAACUCAUAUGCACGACUAAAUGUGCCACUUUAUUUCCUACUAUUCAUAUACUUUAGGAAAAUAUUUAUACCAUUAUACAUGUGCAUAUAUCAAGUGAAUUUGUUUUGUUACAUCAGUUUCAGUCAUGUUGGAAAUUCAUCAAAUUCCCCGCAGUGAAAAUAUUAAUCAGUUAAUUAGAACACUUAG